rnacentral:miRNA from 1 species
GGACUAAUGACAGUCUGGG